rnacentral:rRNA from 1 species
AAUGAACGUUGGCGGCGUGGAUUAGGCAUGCAAGUCGCGCGAGAAGUUUCCUUCGGGAGACGGACAGCGGCGGAAGGGAGAGGAAUAAGUAGAAAUCUGCCCUCGGGACGGGGAUAGCGGCGGGAAACUGCCGGUAAUACCCGAUAACAUCUUUGGAUCAAAUGGUGUGAUUCCGCCUGAGGAUGAGUCUACUUCCUAUUAGCUAGUUGGUGUGGUAAUGGCUCACCAAGGCAACGAUGGGUAGCGGGUGUGAGAGCACGAUCCGCCUCACUGGGACUGAGACACUGCCCAGACACCUACGGGUGGCUGCAGUCGAGAAUCUUCGGCAAUGGGGGAAACCCUGACCGAGCGACGCCGCGUGCGGGAUGAAGGCCCUCGGGUUGUAAACCGCUGUCGUAAGGGAACAAAUCUAAGAGGGUACUCCCUUUUAGUUGAGUGAUCUUAGGAGGAAGGACGGGCUAAGUUCGUG